CCUACGGGGGGCAGCAGUGAGGAAUAUUGGUCAAUGGACGAGAGUCUGAACCAGCCAAGUAGCGUGAAGGAUGACUGCCCUAUGGGUUGUAAACUUCUUUUAUAUGGGAAUAAAAUGUUCCACGUGUGGGAUUUUGUAUGUACCAUAUGAAUAAGGAUCGGCUAACUCCGUGCCAGCAGCCGCGGUAAUACGGAGGAUCCGAGCGUUAUCCGGAUUUAUUGGGUUUAAAGGGAGCGUAGGUGGAUUGUUAAGUCAGUUGUGAAAGUUUGCGGCUCAACCGUAAAAUUGCAGUUGAAACUGGCAGUCUUGAGUACAGUAGAGGUGGGCGGAAUUCGUGGUGUAGCGGUGAAAUGCUUAGAUAUCACGAAGAACUCCGAUUGCGAAGGCAGUUCACUGGACUGCAACUGACACUGAGGCUCGAAAUUGUGGGUAUCAAACAGGAUUAGAUACCCUAGUAGUC
rnacentral:rRNA from 1 species